AGAAUCAACGCUGGCGGCGUGCCUAACACAUGCAAGUCGCACGAGAAAGGGGGAGCAAUCCCUGAGUACAGUGGCGCACGGGUGAGUAACACGUGAAUAAUCUACCUCCGAGUGGGGAAUAACUGAGAGAAAUCUUAGCUAAUACCGCAUAACACUUACGAGUCAAAGCAGCAAUGCGCUUGGAGAGGAGUUCGCGGCAGAUUAGUUAGUUGGCGGGGUAAUGGCCACCAAGACGAUGAUCUGUA
rnacentral:rRNA from 1 species